GGCUUCGUGGUCUAGUGGUAUGAUUCUUGCUUUGGGACGUCACGUGCUCAAAUCUGCAAGAGGGUAAGCGUCAACCGAGCUCCUUCUCCUGCGCAAUCGCUAACAUCAACAGCCCCGCGUUCGAAUCGCGGCGGAGCCC